rnacentral:tRNA from 1 species
CGGGUAAUAGCUCAACGGUAGAGCAACGGACUUUGACUCCGUAUGUUGGGGUUCGAUUCCCCAUUACCUU